rnacentral:rRNA from 1 species
AGUCUUUUGGUUUUUUAUUAAAGGUGAUUUCUGCUCAAUGAUUUUAAAUAGCCGCGGUAUUUUGACCGUGCAAAGGUAGCAUAAUCAUUUGCUUUAUAAUUGGGGGCUAGAAUGAAUGGAAUUACAAAACAAAGGCUUUAUAUAAUUUUAAAGAUUAUAAUUUGUUUUUUAAGUGAAGAAACUUAAGUGGGUUUGAGGGACAAGAAGACCCUUUUGAGCUUUAUUAUUUUUUUAAUUUUUUAUUAAAAUGUAAUUUGAUUGGGGCGAUCUAGGAAGAUAGGAUCUUCCUUUGUAAAUUUUGAUCCAAUUUUUUUGAUUGAUAGAGUAAGUUACCAAAGGGAUAACAGCGUAAUUUUUUUUAAGAGUUCUUAUUAAAAAUAAAGAUUGCGACCUCGAUGUUGACUUAUAAUUUCCUUUUGGUGUAGCCGCUAAUAGGGUUGGUCUGUUCGACCAUUAAAGUUUU